rnacentral:rRNA from 1 species
AGCUCCAAUAGCGUAUAUUAAAGUUGUUGCAGUUAAAAAGCUCGUAGUUGAACUUCAGGCCUGGCCGGGCGGUCUGCCUCGCGGUAUGUACUGUCUGGCCGGGCCUUACCUCUUGGUGAACCGGCAUGCCCUUCACUGGGUGCGUCGGGGAACCAGGACUUUUACCUUGAGAAAAUUAGAGUGUUCAAAGCAGGCCUAUGCCUGAAUACAUUAGCAUGGAAUAAUAAAAUAGGACGUGCGGUUCUAUUUUGUUGGUUUCUAGGAUCGCCGUAAUGAUUAAUAGGGAUAGUUGGGGGCAUUAGUAUUCAGUUGCUAGAGGUGAAAUUCUUGGAUUUACUGAAGACUAACUAUUGCGAAAGCAUUUGCCAAGGAUGUUUUCA